rnacentral:snRNA from 1 species
AAACACAUGGGCUAGAUACCAUGAUCGACGAGUUGGUACUCCCAGAGUACGGCCUGUCCCUUGCACUGUGGGCAGGCUGACCCCUGCAAGUUUCUCUGAAUGCGGGAAACUGGACUGCACAAUUUUGUGGCAAUGAGAGAUUGCAUUCAUGCUUCCCUUCU